rnacentral:misc_RNA from 1 species
GUGAAUCAUCAAAUUUUUGAACGCAAAUUGCACUCUCUGGCAUUCCGGAGAGUAUGCCUGUCUUGGGGUCAUGAUAAUCAAAAUCUGAUCAAUGCCUUUUUGGUGACGCACCGGAGUUUGGGUCUCUUUAACUCUUUUUUGAUGUGACCUAAAAUUAACAUUUUUUUUUGCUCAUUUUUGCGACGUUCAUAAUUUUUUUUUAUUCUUCUACCCUGGUGUCAUAUUUGUUAUUAGAUCGGGAA